AGAGUUUGAUCAUGGCUCAGGAUGAACGCUAGCGGCAGGCUUAAUACAUGCAAGUCGAGGGGCAGCACGGGUAGCAAUACUGGGUGGCGACCGGCAAACGGGUGCGGAACACGUACGCAACCUUCCUUUAAGCGGAGAAUAGCCCAGGGAAACUUGGAUUAAUACUCCAUAAAAAUGCAGAGUGGCAUCACUUAACAUUUAAAGCUCCGGCACUUAAAGAUGGGCGUGCGGCUGAUUAGGUAGUUGGCGGGGUAACGGCCCACCAAGCCAACGAUCAGUAACUGGUGUGAGAGCACGACCAGUCACACGGGCACUGAGACACGGGCCCGACUCCUACGGGAGGCAGCAGUAAGGAAUAUUGGUCAAUGGACGCAAGUCUGAACCAGCCAUGCCGCGUGGAGGAUGAAGGCCCUCUGGGUUGUAAACUUCUUUUACUGGGGAAGAAACCCAUCUUUUCUAAGGUGGUUGACGGUACCCGAUGAAUAAGCACCGGCUAACUCCGUGCCAGCAGCCGCGGUAAUACGGAGGGUGCAAGCGUUAUCCGGAUUCACUGGGUUUAAAGGGUGCGUAGGUGGGCAGGUAAGUCAGUGGUGAAAUCUCCGGGCUUAACCCGGAAACUGCCGUUGAUACUAUCUGUCUUGAAUGUAGUGGAGGUGAGCGGAAUAUGUCAUGUAGCGGUGAAAUGCUUAGAUAUGACAUAGAACACCUAUUGCGAAGGCAGCUCGCUACACUAUUAUUGACACUGAGGCACGAAAGCGUGGGGAUCAAACAGGAUUAGAUACCCNNGUAGUCC
rnacentral:rRNA from 1 species